UUGGUCAGGGGACUGGCUUCUGGAUCCUGCAUUCUUCUGGCUGUGGGUCUGUACCAGACAGCCUUAACCUGGACCUAGAGUAGCCAGGUCGGACCCACCUGUGUCGGCCUGAGCAGUUACAGGUGUGAACACAUUACAGUAUAUUGUGCUCAUGUAUAGUACUGCACACAGCU
rnacentral:snoRNA from 1 species